ensembl:lncRNA
UAGAAGCUGUACUCUAAACUAUGAAUUUUGAUCUUUUUCCAGGUUAUCAACAAUACUCUCUCUCGAUGCUGGGCAGUCACAACUCCCAGUCAGCUUCACAAUCAUGAGGGAAAACUACCUAUACACUUACAACCAUUCUGGUUUUCACUGUCAGCAAAGUCUUCGUAAAUUGCAUGAGAUAGUCAACACUGUUAUAGGGGAGCUCCUGUUGUGGCUCGGGGGAAACAAUCUGACUAGGAUCCAUGAGGAUGCAAGUUCAGUCCUUGGCCUCACUCAGUGGGUUAAGAACCCCCGGCAUUACCGUGAGCUAUAGUGUGGUCGAAGACGCGGCUGGGAUCUGGAGUUGCUGUGGCUGUGGUCCGUAGCAACUCAGGGAUCCAAGCCAUGUCUGUGACCUACACCACAGCUCAUGGCAACACUGGAUUCUUAACCCACUGAGCGAGGCCAGGGAUCAAACCCACAUCCUCAUGGAUGCUAGUGGCAUUAGUUUUCUGCUGCAUCACAGCAGGAACUCCCCUGCUUGCAUUACCUAAUGGUCAGUAGUGAAAUAAUCAUUGCUGAUCUCUUAAAAUAAACAUUUAAAAUUUUUUUUUUUUUUUACUGUCACACUCUAGGAAUAUGGAAGUUCCCAGGCUAGGAGUCAAGUUAGAGCUACACCUGCCAACCUAUGCCAGAGCCACAGCCACUUGGGAUCCACGGUGCAUCUGCAACCUAUACAACAGCUUGCAGCAAUGCCAGAUCCCCAACCCACUGAGUGAGGCCAGGGGUCAAACCCGCACCCUCAAGGAUACUGGUCUGAUUCGUUUCCACUGAGCCACAAUGGGAACUCACAAACUUUUUUUUUAAAUAAAGAUACAGUGUACAAAUAGCACCCAUAAAAUUCCCAAUGAUGUAGUAACUACAUCCAGUAGCUUCAAGCCAUUAUGUCUGAAGGUCCAAGAAAAAAGAUUUCAAGGAUAGUGAGAAGAUAUUUUACACCCAGCGAGUCCCAAAUGAUAUACUGGGAUUGGUACAUUUCAGUAAACUUAUGUUCAUGUAUUAAUUGUGAACGACAUAAGAAAACACCUUAUUAAAUGUAAAACUAUUUGUUAUGGGUCUUUAACUUCCUUUUUUGCUUCCUUAUGUAAUACUGGAAGAGUCCAAGUACAAACUGUUCCACAGACAAUCAUGUUUUCUGCAAACAAAGACAGUUUUAUUUUCUUCCCUUCCCAAUCUGUACACCUUUUACUUCCUUUUCCUGACUUAUUCAUUAGCUAGGACUUCCAGUAAAAUGUUGAAAAGGAGUUGCCCUGCCCGAUGUUGUGAGAAAAACUUCAAGUGUCUCACCAUUAAGUAUGAUGUUCGCUAUAGGUUUUUUGUAUGUUCUUUGUCAUGGUUGAGGAAGUUCUCUCUAUUCCUAGUUUACUCAGAGUUUUUAUG